CGACCCCAACUUAGGCGAGAACACCCGUUGAGUUUAAGCAUAUAAUUAAGCGGAGGAAAAGAAACUUACAAGGAUUCCCCUAGUAACGGCGAGCGAACCGGGAAGAGCCCAGCAUGA
rnacentral:ncRNA from 1 species